rnacentral:rRNA from 1 species
UAAGCGGAGGNAAAGAAACUAACAAGGAUUCCCCUAGUAACUGCGAGUGAAGCGGGAAAAGCUCAAAUUUAAAAUCUGGUGGCCUCUGGUCAUCCGAGUUGUAAUUUAGAGAAGCGUCUUCCGCGCUGGACCAUGCACAAGUCUCUUGGAACAGAGCGUCAUAGAGGGUGAGAAUCCCGUCUUUGACACGGACUGCCAGUGCUUAUGUGAUGCGCUCUCAAAGAGUCGAGUUGUUUGGGAAUGCAGCUCAAAAUGGGUGGUAAAUUCCAUCUAAAGCUAAAUAUUGGCGAGAGACCGAUAGCGAACAAGUACCGUGAGGGAAAGAUGAAAAGAACUUUGGAAAGAGAGUUAAACAGUACGUGAAAUUGUUGAAAGGGAAACGCUUGAAGUCAGUCGCGUUGGCCAGAAAUCAACCUUCAAAGGUGCACUUUCUGGUUUUACGGGUCAGCAUCAAUUUUGAUUGUUGGAUAAAAGUCAAUAUUUAUGCAUCUUUGGAUGUAUAGCCUUUGGUUGCAUACAACAGUUGGGAUUGAGGAACUCAGCACGCCGCAAGGCCGGGUCUCUUUUGAUCACGCACGUGCUUAGGAUGCUGGCAUAAUGGCUUUAAUCGACC